rnacentral:rRNA from 1 species
GCUUGCAUUGGGGGGAGAGUGGCGAACGGGUGAGUAACACGUGGAUUAUCUGCCUUCAGGUCUGGGAUAACCCCGGGAAACCGGGGCUAAUACCGGAUAAUAUGGCAACAUUAAAGGUGGGGACCUUCGGGCCUAUCGCCUGAAGAUGAGUCCGCGUCCCAUUAGCUUGUUGGUGGGGUAAUGGCCUACCAAGGCGACGAUGGGUAGCCGGCCUGAGAGGGUGUACGGCCACAUUGGGACUGAGAUACGGCCCAGACUCCUACGGGAGGCAGCAGUUAAGAAUCUUGCGCAAUGGGCGAAAGCCUGACGCAGCGACGCCGCGUGGACGAUGAAGGCCUUCGGGUUGUAAAGUCCGGUAAGCAGGGAAGAAUAAGUGUAAAGUAAUAUCUUGCACGAUGACGGUACCUGCCUAAAGCCCCGGCUAACUACGUGCCAGCAGCCGCGGUAAUACGUAUGGGGCAAGCGUUGUUCGGAAUUAUUGGGCAUAAAGGGCGUCUAGGCGGGGGACUAAGUUAGGUGUGAAAGCCAUGGGCUCAACCCAUGAAUUGCACCUAAAACUGGUUUUCUUGAGUUCGGGAGAGGAGAGCGGAAUUCCCGGUGUAGCGGUGAAAUGCGUAGAUAUCAUACAGAACACCAAUUGCGAAGGCAGCUUACUAAACUGUAACUGACGCUGAGGCACGAAAGCGUGGGGAGCGAACAGGAUUAGAUACCCUGGUAGUCCACGCUGUAAACGAUGAUCACUCGCUGUUGGCAAUACAUCGUCAGUGGCUGAGCAAAAGCAUUAAGUGAUCCACCUGGGGAGUACGUCGGCAACGAUGAAACUCAAAGGAAUUGACGGGGGCCCGCACAAGCGGUGGAACAUGUGGUUUAAUUCGAUGAUACGCGAGGAACCUUACCUGGGCUUAAAUGCAGAACGACGGUUCCCGAAAGGGAUCCUUCUUCGGACGGACUGCAAGGUGCUGCAUGGUUGUCGUCAGCUCGUGCCGUGAGGUGUCGGGUUAAGUCCCAUAACGAGCGCAACCCCUAUUGUUAGUUGCCAGCGAGUAAUGUCGGGGACUCUAACGAAACUGCCGGUGUAAACCGUGAGGAAGGUGGGGAUGACGUCAAAUCAGCACGGCCCUUAUGUCCAGGGCUACACACGUGUUACAAUGGUCGGUACAGAGGGCAGCUACUUGGCGACAAGUUGCAAAUCUCUAAAACCGGCCUUAGUUCGGAUUGAAGUCUGCAACUCGACUUCAUGAAGCUGGAAUCGCUAGUAAUCGCGCAUCAGCCAUGGCGCGGUGAAUACGUUCCCGGGCCUUGUACACACCGCCCGUCAAGCCAUGGAGCUGGGGGUACCUAAAGUCCGUAACCG